rnacentral:rRNA from 1 species
AGCGAACGCUGGCGGCAGGCUUAACACAUGCAAGUCGAGCGGGCGUAGCAAUACGUCAGCGGCAGACGGGUGAGUAACGCGUGGGAACGUACCUUUUGGUUCGGAACAACACAGGGAAACUUGUGCUAAUACCGGAUAAGCCCUUACGGGGAAAGAUUUAUCGCCGAAAGAUCGGCCCGCGUCUGAUUAGCUAGUUGGUGAGGUAACGGCUCACCAAGGCGACGAUCAGUAGCUGGUCUGAGAGGAUGAUCAGCCACAUUGGGACUGAGACACGGCCCAAACUCCUACGGGAGGCAGCAGUGGGGAAUAUUGGACAAUGGGGGCAACCCUGAUCCAGCCAUGCCGCGUGAGUGAUGAAGGCCCUAGGGUUGUAAAGCUCUUUUGUGCUGGAAGAUAAUGACGGUACCGCAAGAAUAAGCCCCGGCUAACUUCGUG